rnacentral:lncRNA from 1 species
UGUGAUGUAAGCAGGACUGGACAAUCCAGGACCUCAGCCACACACUCAGCAUCAGCAACACCUCUCAUCACAGAAACACAUUCACUGAUGGUUCGCCAGACACCAUCUGUGUUUCUGGACCCUCAGACGAAAAUGACAGUUCCUCUGUGGGAUGGAUGAAGCUGCCAUCACUUCCCGUCUCUCUCUGUUCGCUCAGGAAUGCUGAGGAACAGGGACAGCCCUGUCUGAGUGGAGAGCUGCUGUUUGGUUGGUAGAAGGCGUCUCAGUGAACUGACUUAACGAGUUACUGUGAGACAGAAAUGGAGCUGCACCCC